GAUAAUGUAUUCUCACUAUCAAGUUUUACUUUCUUUCUCCUCAUUUUGAAAAGUAAAGGAAAUAAUUUUGGUUGGCUUUUUUAGGUAAGCCUCCCUGCAAAAAAUAGUUUUAUGUUUUGUGACCUUGACAGUUUCAGUCUUUUAAGUAGUACCUAUGAUUGUAAAUGUUUUGUAGAUGACUAGUCAUCUGUUGAUUAAAUGAGAUAUGACUAUUCAGUUAAGCCAUUUUAAAUACUGAACUUUAGCUAAAUACUUUGAAUGGAAUAUGCUAUUAUCACAGUUAUUUUGUUUAAUGAUGGUGUUCUACUAAAUUGUGGAGUUGAAUCACUAAAUCUCAAACUUUGACAAGUGAAGCUGAUAUCCACAUUUCUUCUUCUUACAUCAGGCAGCAUUUGUUCUCAUCAUUUUAAUGGUCCAAGGCUAGUGGAGUCUAGUUUGGGGCCAUUCUAUGCAGGAACUAGUAAAAACAUCUUUCUUCAAGGGUAAAAAUGUGUUAUUUAAACAUUUCAAGGGCAAUUAAACCAGAUUUUAGUUUCCUUUUUUUUCUGUCACUGAUAGUCUGUCAGCAUAUUUCAGCAAAUCUGAUAUUUAGGGUCCCUUUCAGAAAGUUGAUGUUGACUUUCUGAAGAUCAAGACCGGAAAUUUGAAAGCUCACUUAACUGAGCAUGAGCAACACUGAAAUGUAGAAGGUGGAAACAUUAUGGCAGAAGGACCAGCAUGUUGGUGCUUCAGAAAAGUAAGUAGUCAGGUACUAGUGAUCAGCAAUCCUCGGGGUAGGGGAAUAUGCCCUUUGUGGAUAGUGCGAUCUUUGAGUUAGUAUAUAUAAUUAGAAGCGGGUGUGGGGGGCACAGGGGAACUUGCCCUCUUGCAAAAACACUGUUAGAUGGAUUUAUUUUAAGUGUUUUGUUUAACAGGGACAUUGUUUUACCUGCUGGCAUAAACAUUUGAUCCUCCUCAUUUCGAUGCUGUGGAUACCGGAUUAAGUGAGCAUUUGAGUGCCUGGUCUCAGUUUCUAGAAAACUGAUGUUGUGGUCUGUUGACUUUCUAAACCAGAUCUGGUGCAACAACCAUGCACUGUAGUUUUAAGAAUUUUCAGUUUGUACUGACUUUUGUCAGAAAACUGUUAAUAGUUUUAAAGUUUAAAUGAAAGUAUGUUUUAUAAUCUAUUGGUUCAUAUUUCACCUGCAAGAAAAGUCAUUCCUGAAAUAGGAAGUGAGCUGUGUUUGCAGAUUAGUAUGCUUUUAUAUGUCUCCAGUUUUAUUUAGUUAAAACUGCAAUAUGAUAUUCUUUGUGUGACUGAAUGUUUAAAUGCCUUUGAUUUAUUUUAUGCUGCGCUUUUAUUUUAAUUUAUUAUAUCUGUUGUUAUUAAAAUAUGAGAAUGCACUGCAUACAUUUAGAGUCUUUUUUUAUCUUCCAGUUUAUUAAGGCAGCAUUACAGUUAUUGUUUGUUGUGCUUCUAUUUUAAUUUAUUAUAUUUGCUGUUAUUAAAAGAUGAAAUGUA